AAAAUUUAAAGUUAAAAUACUAAAAUAGUAAAUAAAAUAUUUGUUGAAACUUAAAUAAUUUGGCGGUAUUUUAGUUCAUUUAGAGGAAUCUGUUUAAUAAUUGAUAUUCCACGAAUAAAUUUACUUAAUUUAUAAUUUUGUAUAUCGUUGUUAAAAAAAUAUUUUUUAAUAAAGUUAAUAUUUAAAAAUUAAAAUAUAAAUUUAAAUCAGAUCAAGAUGCAGAUUAUAAUUAAGAAUAUAAUGGAUUACAAUAAAUUUAUUUAAAUGGAUUUUAAUUUUUAAUAGUUAAUUGAAAGUGGAUUUAAAUGUAAUUUUAUUUAAUUUAAUAAAAUGAUUAAAAAUUAAAAUAUGU
rnacentral:rRNA from 1 species